GACAGAGGGUGCAAACGUUGUUCGGAAUUACUGGGCGUAAAGCGAGUGUAGGCGGUCUGUAAAGUCGGGUGUGAAAGCCCCGGGCUCAACCCGGGAAGUGCACUCGAAACUCACAGGCUAGAGUAUCGGAGAGGUUGGUGGAAUUCUCGGUGUAGAGGUGAAAUUCGUAGAUAUCGAGAGGAACACCGGUGGCGAAGGCGGCCAACUGGACGAAUACUGACGCUGAGACUCGAAAGCGUGGGGAGCAAACAGGAUUAGAAACCCU
rnacentral:rRNA from 1 species